rnacentral:sRNA from 17 species
AGAAGACCUCCCGUAAAUCAAGCAUGAAAGGGCGAUCGCAGGUUGCAAAAAAGCGGAGUGACGUAUGGACACGUCACCCCGC